CAGCCAGCCAAUGUUUCUGCUUACUUGAAUGUGUUUCUGCAGAAAUUUAGAGAAAGCUGGCAAUAGCAAAGCCAUGUUAUGAGUCUUAAAGAUAAUUGAAGUCAUUAAGGUCCCUGAAAAUGGCUAUUUAA